AUACGGAGGAUGCGAGCGUUAUCCGGAUUUAUUGGGUUUAAAGGGAGCGUAGGUGGGAUAUUAAGUCAGCUGUGAAAGUUUGGGGCUCAACCUUAAAAUUGCAGUUGAUACUGGUUUCCUUGAGUACGGUACAGGUGGGCGGAAUUCGUGGUGUAGCGGUGAAAUGCUUAGAUAUCACGAAGAACUCCGAUCGCGAAGGCAGCUCACCGGGCCGGAACUGACACUGAUGCUCGAAAGUGCGGGUAUCAAACAGGAUUAGAUACCCUGGUAGUCCGCACAGUAAACGAUGAAUACUCGCUGUUUGCGAUACACUGUAAGCGGCCAAGCGAAAGCGUUAAGUAUUCCACCUGGGGAGUACGCCGGCAACGGUGAAACUCAAAGGAAUGGACGGGG
rnacentral:rRNA from 1 species